rnacentral:rRNA from 1 species
GUGGGGAAUCUUCCGCAAUGGACGAAAGUCUGACGGAGCAACGCCGCGUGAGUGAUGAAGGUCUUCGGAUUGUAAAGCUCUGUUAAUCGGGACGAAAGAGCCUAGUGUGAAUAAUGCUAGGAAGUGACGGUACCGGAAUAGAAAGCCACGGCUAACUACGUGCCAGCAGCCGCGGUAAUACGUAGGUGGCAAGCGUUGUCCGGAAUUAUUGGGCGUAAAGCGCGCGCAGGCGGAUCUGCCAGUCUGUCUUAAAAGUUCGGGGCUUAACCCCGUGAUGAGAUGGAAACUACAGAUCUAGAGUAUCGGAGAGGAAAGUGGAAUUCCUAGUGUAGCGGUGAAAUGCGUAGAUAUUAGGAAGAACACCAGUGGCGAAGGCGACUUUCUGGACGAAAACUGACGCUGAGGCGCGAAAGCCAGGGGAGCGAACGGGAUUAGAUACCCCAGUAGUCC